rnacentral:lncRNA from 1 species
UGGACAGCAGAUUUGGGGUGAUAGGGACAUGUUUCUAAGUUGUUCCAUAAGUAGGACAUUUGCAGGCAGAUAGAAACAAGGGGCAAACAGUGGCUCAGUACAGGGACUGAGUUAAGUCAGGGGUGUUUUCUGAAGAUGGGGAGGGACCCAGGCACAGGUGGCCACCCGGGCAAGUUUCAGUGAGGAAGGAGGCUGACAGUGGACGUCUCUGAGCCCCCUCACCAGGGGCUGUGCCCAAGGGCUCAGUCUGGUCUCUGCGCCCCCACCUCUGGGAGCCUCGUUGCCCCUCCUCCUCUCCCCGGGCGUAUGAUGCUGUGAUGCGUGUUCUCAGGAAGUAGCCAGCGCUCUGGGCCCAGACCCAUCCUUCCAAGGGAGCGCCAGGGUCCAUCUGGUCCAGUGUGGCCCCCACGGCAUCUUCGGCCUUGUCAUCUCCAGCAUGGCCAUGCUUGGCUCCCUCCUUGGACCACCUGUGUCCAGCUCCCGGCUGCAAAGGCGUCGCUGGACUGCAGGCCCGGCAUACCCUGUCCCCCAGGCCCCCAGCAUCCCUCCCCACAUUCCAAACCCAGUGAUCUGCUUGAUAGAAGAGGACGUGAUUCUUUUCCAGCUUCAGAUUCACCCUGACAAUCGCCCAGCCAGUCACUACCCCGUGUACCAGAAGCAGCACCUGUUCAACAGCAACCCCCACUGGGACUUCGGGGCCUUCAGGAGGCUCAGCCACCUAGUGCGAGAGACUCAAGUCAACUUCUCCAGGUUUGUCCACCAGUUCUUAGAUCCGGGCACAUACGUGUUUCGAGACAACGCACUUCCCGAGAGCGUUGUGGUGGUGUCGGUGAAGGAGAAGGGGAUAGCCUGCGGCCCUGGCCUGUCCUCUGUGCAGCCCUCCUCCCCGUACCAGCUCUCCAGGCAUGGCAUCGUCAGGCACAGGCUGCCAACCCUGGGCCCAGACUGGGCCGUGAUCACAGGUACUGACCCCAGACCAGAGUAG